rnacentral:tRNA from 1 species
GGAGACAUAGCUCAGUUGGUAGAGUGCUUGCCUCACAUGUACAAGGCCCUGGGUUCAAUCCCCAGCACCA